rnacentral:rRNA from 1 species
AGUGAACGCUGGCGGUAGGCUUAACACAUGCAAGUCGAACGGCAGCAUAGUAGGAGCUUGCUCUCACGGGUGGCGAGUGGCGGACGGGUGAGGAAUACAUCGGAAUCUACUUUUUCGUGGGGGAUAACGUAGGGAAACUUACGCUAAUACCGCAUAUGACCUACGGGUGUAAGCCGGGGAUCGUCGAACUAUGCGCGAGUGUAUGAGCCGAUAUCGGAUUAGCUAGUUGGCGGGGUUAAGGCGCACCACGGCGACGUUCCGUAGGUGGUAUGAGAGGAAGGCUCGACACACGGGAACUGAGACACGUCCCCGACACUGAGGGGGGGCAACAGUGGGAAAUAUUGGACAAUGCACGCAAGCCUAAUCCUGCCAAACCGCGUGAGUGCAGAAGACCUUCGGCUUGUUGAGUCCUGUUGUUGGGAAAGACAUGCAGCUGGUUAAUACCCCGCGGUUCUGACGGUACCCAAAGAAUAAGCACCGGCUAACUUCGUG